rnacentral:lncRNA from 1 species
CGCCACCAUGCCCAGCUAAAUUUUUUGUAUUUUUAGUAGAGACGAGAUUUCACCAUGUUAGCCAGGAUGGUCUCGAUCUCCUGACCUCGUGAUCCACCCGCCUUAUGGACAUAAUCAGAGGUCAGUGUCCAUGGGAUGGACCCGGCAGGUGGCAAGACAAACUAUGCAAAAGGAUCGUGAUGGAACCCUCAAAUAUGAAGGUGAAAAGAACUGCACAGGCAGCGAAGUCUGGCCCUGUCACCCAGGCUGGAGUGUAGGUGCAUGAUCUUGGCUCACUGCAAUCUCUGCCUCAUGGGUUCUCACAUUCUCCUGCCUCAGCCUCCCGAGUAGCUGGGACUAGAGGCACCCACCACCAUGCUUGGCUAAUUUUUUGUAUUUUUUCAUAGAGACGGGGUUUCACCAUGUUAGCCAGGAUGGUCUCGAUCUGCUGACCUCGUGAUCCGCAUGCCUCUGCCUCCCAAAGGGCUGGGAUUACAGGCGUGAACCACAGUGCCCGGCCUGAAAUCUUGAAAUAAAUGAAAAACGAGCUAAUCGCUGAACAAAAAAAUAAAAAAUCACUGUGGAAUGACAAGAACAUUCUACAAACAUUUAUAUGUGAUUUUUGCAAAAAGUGUUAAUGCCAAUGUGUAUAUGCUGAGUGAUGAGGAGAUAAGUGAUCCUGAAUCAGAGGAGCAAAUCGUGACACUGAGAAAAUAAAUGCAAAAGCUGAACGUAGAAUGCUAUACCAUGUGUCUUUAAUGCAACACAUUAUAAUAAUUUAUAUCAUUACAUUACAAAUAUUCACCAUGUUCUUUAAUAUGUCCUGUCACUGAGAAGGUAAAAAGUUUGGAUGAGAGUUCAGCUGAAUGUAGAACUGACAUCUCAGCAGUGAAAGUGUUAUGAAUUGAUCAGCUUGGAUAUAUACUUAGAGAAUAAUACUAAAUAUAAAUAUCCACUAAUUUUCACACCCAUAUGGCAUAACGGUAUGCCAACAUUUUUGUACUUUGUAGCUUAGCCAUC